AUUGAACGCUGGCGGCAGGCCUAACACAUGCAAGUCGAGCGAGCGGCGGACGGGUGAGGAAUGUAUGGGGAUCUGGCUUAUGGCGGGGGAUAACUACGGGAAACUGUAGCUAAUACCGCGUACCAUAGUAUGAGCCCAAGUGGGAUGAGGUAGUUGGUGAGGUAAAGGCGAACAAGGCCGACGAUCUCUAGCUGGUCUGAGAGGAUGACCAGCCACACUGGGACGGAGACACGGCCCAGACUCCUACGGGAGGCAGAAGUGGGGAAUAUUGCGCAAUGGGGGCAACCUGACGCAGCCAUGCCGCGUGAAUGAAGAAGGCCUUCGGGUUGUAAAGUUCUUUCGGUAGCGAGGCGUUAACUACAGAAGAAGCACCGGCUAACUCCGUGCCAGCAGCCGCGGUAAUUC
rnacentral:rRNA from 1 species